AGCUCAUCCAGAGGGGCAGAGGGAAACGGCCCGAUGAAGCCCCGGCAACCCUCCAGUCGGCUCUCGUAGCGAUCACUGCCGUAACACCGCUGAUCGUCUCCGCGAGGCUCCCGGCUAGGGAAGGUGCCAAAUCCGUCUCACGGCGAGAUGCGUCGUGAGGAAGAUGAGGA
rnacentral:ncRNA from 1 species